rnacentral:lncRNA from 1 species
AUAGGGGAGGGGGUAUAGUCUCACUAUUAAUAUCCAUACUAUUAAUGUGAUUAUCAAUCCUUCUACACUCGUACCCAGAUUCACGGCAUAACCGCGUGGAACCCUCUCCAUUCUCCACACCAUCAUCUACAAUUUCCUCGAAACCCUAAACUUCUGAGUGCAGAUCUGUGCCCUGUUCCUUUUUUGAAUGUGCGAUAGGUAAGAUUUGACAAAUUUGACUGUUUUCCAGUAAUUGAAAAAAAAAUGUAGACUUGAAAAAUUAAAACUA